CUCCGCUCGCGACCCACCGCCUCUGCUCGCGCCAGAAGCUCAACAUGCCAAAAGCAUAAGCCUGUCAUUUAUUAUUUCUUUUCUUGUUCGUUUCACGUUUGUUGGAAUUGGGACUUGCUUGGUUGCGGAUUUCGAUGGUUUUUGAUGCAAAAGCUGAGAUGAUCGAGUCCCUCACCAUGAUAUAAUUUUAAGAAUCGAAUGACUGUCUCUUCCUUUCUUUUGGGUCCGUUACUGUUCCACAGAUUCUCCUGUUGUUGCUGAUAAGGCACGAUUCUUCUAUCCCAUGUACACCUGUUAUUUCUGUAAAUCACUGUGUUUCCAGAUUCCAGCCCUACUGAAUGGGAAGGCGGUUGUUGUGAUGUCACCAUUGAUAAGUUUAAUGCAUGGUUUACUCGAUGUCUCCGGUCAACUAAGCCGCGUCCACCCAAGUGUUUAAUAAUGCAAUUAAGUGCAAUUUUCUGAUCUGAGCAAAGUGGUCUGCUGAAAAGCACGAUGAAUAUUUGUGAAUUACCUUCUCUUCCUCGGACUAUUGUAGCAAUAACUGAGGAAUCUGAGCUCGUCCCUUGUUCAAACGGAGAGGAAAUGGUGGGUGAACAACUUGUAACCUCAUGGAAAUACUUAUGGAAAAUCACCAACUUCAAUAGCUUAAGUUCAGUCAGGCGCUUGUUGAUCUACCCAAAAAGGCAAUAGAACCAAUUCUUUGGCACUAUAUUUGAGUGUUGCCGAUCCCGCAGGACUUCCAGACGGAUGGUCUAGAUUUGCACUGUUCAAAUUGACUGGUUAAUCAGAUAAAUCCUGGUUCUUCAAAGAGAAAGGGUAUGAAUUGUCUACUCCAGGGCCUCUUUUUCCCCUGGCUAGAUGGUUCUUUUAUUUAAUCUUGCCGUUAAUAUAUUUCUGAAAGGAUGAUAAGCGAUGAUCUGAGUUCUUUUGUUGAUUCAUGUAAGAUGUAUAAAAUUCAAGUAACAGGAAACAUGUGAUUUUGUCACUCUACCCCUCUUUAGACACCCAGAUUAGUUUUGGAGUGAAUAUUCACCGUGUUGAAAGUGGCUGCCGAGUGUAGAUUUGAAGCUGAAGAAAUCUGAAGGACCAAAUUGAUGUUUUGCUGAAGUAAAUUAGAACAUUCUGGUGCUGUGUUUCAAAUCUUU